UACGUAGGGAGCGAGCGUUGUCCGGAAUCAUUGGGCGUAAAGAGCUUGUAGGCGGCUUGGUAAGUCGGAUGUGAAACCUCCAGGCUCAACCUGGAGUCGCCAUCCGAUACUGCCAUAGCUAGAGUCCGGUAGGGGCCCACGGAAUUCCUGGUGUAGCGGUGAAAUGCGCAGAUAUCAGGAGGAACACCGGUGGCGAAGGCGGGUCUCUGGGCCGAUACUGACGCUGGAGGAGCGAAAGCGUGGGGAGCGAACAGG
rnacentral:rRNA from 1 species